rnacentral:rRNA from 1 species
AUACGGAAGGUCCGGGCGUUAUCCGGAUUUAUUGGGUUUAAAGGGAGCGCAGGCGGAGAUGCAAGCGUGACGUCAAAUUUCGGGGCUCAACCACGUCUCGCGUCGCGAACUGCGUCCCUUGGUUGCGGGAAGGGGAGGCGGAACUCGUGGGGUAGCGGUGAAAUGCAUAGAUAUCACGAAGAACUCCGAUCGCGAAGGCAGCCUUCCGGCCCGUCAACGACGCUCAUGCUCGAAGGUGCGGGUAUCAAACAGGAUUAGAUACCCUGGUAGUCCGCACAGUAAACGAUGGACACCCGCGGUUUGGCCUGUAUGGCUGAGCCGCCAAGCGAAAGCGUUAAGUGUCCCACCUGGGGAGUACGCCGGCAACGGUGAAACUCAAAUGAAUUGACGGGG